CCUACGGGUGGCAGCAGUGGGGAAUAUUGGGCAAUGGGCGCAAGCCUGACCCAGCAACGCCGCGUGAAGGAAGAAGGCUUUCGGGUUGUAAACUUCUUUUGUCAGGGACGAAGCAAGUGACGGUACCUGACGAAUAAGCCACGGCUAACUACGUGCCAGCAGCCGCGGUAAUACGUAGGUGGCAAGCGUUAUCCGGAUUUAUUGGGUGUAAAGGGAGCGUAGACGGCCAUGCAAGCCAGGGGUGAAAGCCCGGGGCCCAACCCCGGGACUGCCCUUGGAACUGUGCGGCUAGAGUGCGGGAGGGGCAGGCGGAAUUCCUGGUGUAGCGGUGAAAUGCGUAGAUAUCAGGAGGAACACCGGCGGCGAAGGCGGCCUGCUGGACUGCGACUGACGUUGAGGCUCGAAAGCGUGGGGAGCGAACAGGAUUAGAUACCCCUGUAGUC
rnacentral:rRNA from 1 species